rnacentral:lncRNA from 1 species
CCCAGAAAUCCGCUCCCCAGCCGGCUCGCCGGCGCCGACUGGCUCGCUGCGCCAUCCAUCAACCACCAACCACCGGAAGACGGCUGCGGACGGCGCGCCACGGCCAAUCACGAGAGCGAGGGGGCGGGAGCUCCCCCAGCCGGUCCGACGCUCGGAGUGCAGGCGUGGCGGGACGCCGAAGGAGUCGGUUCUUCGGAGAGCCACGGCGAGUCAGUGGUCGGAGAGUUGACAGGCCGGCCCUGCGCGGAGUGAUGGCCUGGGGCAGAAGCCCCGUUUUGCCCAGAAGACUCCGGAGUCCGCUCCGCGGCUGCUGCCCCCGGCGCCAGGCCCAGCGGCCUUCGCCCCGCCCCCCGUCUCUCAUUGGCUCCCCCGGGACACGUGGGGGGAAGGAGGCGUGGCCACCGCGGCUGGGGCUGGCGGCCUGCGGCCGGCGGGGAUGAGAGGCCCGCGGACUCGGGCCUGGGGCCGCAUGGCAACCGUGGUGCCGGGCUGCUGGCGACGGCGGAGGGCGGAGGAGCUUCAGGUUCCGGGGGACGCGAAACGGGCAUGCAGGAGAGGAGAAGCAGCCGGGCCAGAGUGGGGCCGAGCCCCUGUGAAGCUCAGUGCCCCAGUGUCCUGCAGCGGCGAGGGGCUGCCACGUGUGGGGAUUCCUCAGAACGGCGGAAGGAGCUGGGCCCAGCCUUGCCCGAGAUGUAUGGCGGGGGAGUCUGGACAUCUUAACCACACCGAGAACCAUUAAGGAGCAAGCUGGAAGGUUCCAGUUUGGGUCUCAAGACGUCCAUGUGCCAACAAGUGUCAAUCUCACAGAUGGACCUGGGCACCCACCUGUUGGAAUCACCGGUUCAGGAGAUCCCAUCGCCUACCGCGCUAGAGCCAGGAGGACCCCCAUCACCUCAGAGGAGCCUUCGGACUGUUGGCACCUGCUGCACCCUUCAGAUGUAUCUUCUUGACAAGGAAAUCAUUUGCAUCAUGUAAAAGUUAAAGAACAUUUCAGUGUCAAAUUUCCUAUGAAGUUAGAGAACCCUGUGGCUCAUGGAACCAUAUCCAGAUGUAGCUCUGCUUUCAGACUCUCCAGUAGUUUUGUGGAUGUACCCAGGGCUCCUUAUAUGCUCAUUUUUAAUUAAAAGAUUUAUUUUUAUAUUUAAAAUACUCUAUAAUCUUAAACUGAAUUUUACUAAAUGCUGGUGUCCAAUCCGUUCUGUGUAAUUCCCCAAAUGAAGUUAUCGGGCACAGGGCCUCUUUUAUAUUAAAAUGGAAAUUUCUCACUUUUC